UACCAGCACCCCGAGUGGUCGGGACGUUUUAUUGGGCCUAAAGCAUCCGUAGCCGGUUCUACGAGUCUUCCGUUAAAUCCAACUGCUUAACAGGUGGGCUGCGAAGAUACUAUAGAGCUAGGAGGCGGGAGAGGCAAGCGGUACUCGAUGGGUAGGGGGUAAAAAUCCGUUGAUCCAUUGAAGACCACCAGUGGCGAAGGCGGCUUGCCAGAAUGCGCUCGACGGUGAGGGAUGAAAGCUGGGGGAGCAAACCGG
rnacentral:rRNA from 1 species